UACAGAGGUCUCAAGCGUUGUUCGGAUUCAUUGGGCGUAAAGGGCGCGUAGGCGGCUUUUCAAGUCGGGGGUGGAAGCCUGUGGCUCAACCACAGAAUUGCCUUCGAUACUGUUAGGCUUGAGACCGGAAGAGGUGAGUGGAACUGCGAGUGUAGAGGUGAAAUUCGUAGAUAUUCGCAAGAACACCAGUGGCGAAGGCGGCUCACUGGUCCGGUUCUGACGCUGAGGCGCGAAAGCGUGGGGAGCAAACAGG
rnacentral:rRNA from 1 species